CGCAACCCGGACAAGCUGGCAUCGAAACCGGGGUUGACCGGCGCUCGGCGGACAGCGGGGCAGACUGGUGCUGAAGCAUUACGGAAGAGUGU
rnacentral:SRP_RNA from 12 species